rnacentral:misc_RNA from 1 species
GUGAAUCAUCGAAUCUUUGAACGCACAUUGCGCCCGCCAGCAUUCUGGCGGGCAUGCCUGUUCGAGCGUCAUUUCAACCCCUCAGGCCCUGGUGCCUGGCGUCGGGGCUUUCCCUCGCGGGAAGCCCUCAGAAACAGUGGCGGACCCGCCGCGGCUCCGAGCGCAGUAGUAAAAUUCUCGCUUAGGAGGUCCGCGGGGGGGCUCCCGGCCGUUAAACCCGGCCCUCGCCCUAGGGCGUCGGCUACACCACAAGGUUGACCUCGGAUCAGGUAGGAAUACCCGCUGAACUUAAGCAUAUCAAUAAGCGGAGGA